CCUACGGGUGGCAGCAGUGAGGAAUAUUGGUCAAUGGGAGAGAUCCUGACCCAGCCACGCCGCGUGAGGGAAGACGGCCCUCUGGUUUGUAACCCUCUUUUGUCGGAGGAAAGCCCCCGGUCCGUGUCCCGUCCUGCGUGUAGCCUAAGAACAAGCAUCGGCAAACACCGUGCCAGCCGCAGCGGUACUACGGGGGAUGCGAGCGUCAUCCGGAUUUAUUGGGUUUAAGGGGUGCGUCGGCGGGCCGUUAAGUCAGCGGUAAAAUUGCGGGGCUCAACCCCGUCGAGCCGUUGAAACUGGCAGACUGGAGUGGGCGAGAAGUAAGCGGAAUGAGAGGUGUAGCGGUGAAAUGCAUAGAUAUCGCGCAGAACUCCGAUUGCGAAGGCAGCGUACCGGCGCCAGACUGACGCUGAGGCACGAAAGCGUGGGGAUCGAACAGGAUUAGAUACCCUUGUAGUC
rnacentral:rRNA from 1 species